AUCAAGCUGGCCUAUUCGAUUUUAAAAUCUAUGAUUACAACACAAAUUAACCACAUUAUUAGUUGUGGACUUGUGGUCUUGUUUCAAAUUUCAAAUGUGUCUCUCCUAAUCGAUCUAAGCUAGGUAGAAUAACGAUUCAAAUUCUCUAAACAUCGAGUAUUUUGGGAUUUUAAUUAUAUUUCUAAGUAUGAAAAUAGUGGUAAAAAACUAAAAAUUGAAAAGAGUGAUACUAACACAUAUUUUAAAUAUUAAUUUUUGUUUUAUACGCAAUCAAUUUCAAAAUGUAUAUGCAAUUGGAUAUAUCCGGUGGCAUUCCAAUUAAUUAAGCAGUUAGUAUAGUGUAUGGAAAUAAAAUAGAAAAAUAUGCAAGUAAAAGUCAUCGGGCUUAGUCUAUGGGGAUAUAUUGGAACAAACUAUGAACGAGAUAUGUAUAAAGAGAGGAGUUAGGAGAAAUUAUUAUUGGCCCUUAUGGCAUCCAAGGGUCAUGAUAACUGAUUAGUCAAUCAGUUAAUUAGGAAUUGACAAAGAGUCAAUGAUGCCACUUUCCUACGCCAUAUCAUCAUAUUGCAGUUGCAAUGCAAAGCCUCUGGAUGAUGGCCCCCCAAAUUUUCAUAUACAUUCAGUUUAUUAGUCUUCUAAUUUUUUAUGAAAUUUUAUUUU